AUCCAGCUGACGAGUCCCAAAUAGGACGAAAUACGCGUUCUGGAU
rfam:Schistosoma mansoni strain Puerto Rico chromosome W, complete genome